rnacentral:rRNA from 1 species
GGUACUAAGCCUGUGAGUCUUGUAGCAAUACAAGGCAUACGGCUCAGUAACACGUAGUCAAUCUAACCUAUGGACGGGGAUAACCUCGGGAAACUGAGGAUAAACCCCGAUAGAUCAUAAUGCCUGGAACGGUUUAUGGUCCAAAUGAUUCGUCGCCGUAGGAUGGGACUUGCAGGCCUAUCAUCUUGUUGGUGAGGUAAUGGCCCACCAAGGCUAUUACAGGUACGGGCUCUGAGAGGAGAAGCCCGGAGAUGGGUACUGAGACACGGACCCAGGCCCUAUGGGGCGCAGCAGGCGAGAAACCUUUGCAAUGUGCGCAAGCACGACAAGGUUAAUCCGAGUGUUUCCUGCUAAAGGAAUCUUUUGUUAGUUCUAAAACCACUGAUGAAUAAGGGGUGGGCAAGUUCUGGUGUCAACCGCCGCGGUAAAACCAGCACCUCAAGUGGUCAGGAGGAUUAUUGGGCCUAAAGCAUCCGUAGCCUGUUUUGUAGUUUUCGGUAAAUCCAUUACUCAACUAUGGGCCGCCGAAAAUCUGCAGACUAGGAGUGGAGAGGUGACNGUACUCGUAGGAANGGGUAAAUCUUUAUCUUUGAUGACACCUGUGGCAAGGCGGCUCCAAACC